rnacentral:rRNA from 1 species
AUUGAACGCUGGCGGCAGGCCUAACACAUGCAAGUCGAGCGGAUGAAGGGAGCUUGCUCCUGGAUUCAGCGGCGGACGGGUGAGUAAUGCCUAGGAAUCUGCCUGGUAGUGGGGGAUAACGUCCGGAAACGGGCGCUAAUACCGCAUACGUCCUGAGGGAGAAGGUGGGGGAUCUUCGGACCUCACGCUAUCAGAUGAGCCUAGGUCGGAUUAGCUAGUUGGUGGGGUAAAGGCCUACCAAGGCGCCGAUCCGUAACUGGUCUGAGAGGAUGAUCAGUCACAGUGGAACUGAGACACGGGCCAGAAUCCUACGGGAGGCAGCAGUGGGGAAUAUUGGACAAUGGGCGAAAGCCUGAACCAGCCAUGCCGCGUGUGUGAAGAAGGUCUUCGGAUUGUAAAGCACUUUAAGUUGGGAGGAAGGGCAGUAAGUUAAUACCUUGCUGUUUUGACGUUACCAACAGAAUAAGCACCGGCUAACUUCGU